CCUACGGGGGGCUGCAGUGGGGAAUAUUGGACAAUGGGCGAAAGCCUGAUCCAGCCAUGCCGCGUGUGUGAAGAAGGCCUUCGGGUUGUAAAGCACUUUCAGUGGGGAAGAAAGCCUUGGGGCUAAUACCCUCGAGGAAGGACAUCACCCACAGAAGAAGCACCGGCUAACUCCGUGCCAGCAGCCGCGGUAAUACGGAGGGGGCGAGCGUUAAUCGGAAUUACUGGGCGUAAAGCGCGCGUAGGCGGUCUGAUAAGCCGGUUGUGAAAGCCCCGGGCUCAACCUGGGAACGGCAUCCGGAACUGUCAGGCUAGAGUGCAGGAGAGGAAGGUAGAAUUCCCGGUGUAGCGGUGAAAUGCGUAGAGAUCGGGAGGAAUACCAGUGGCGAAGGCGGCCUUCUGGACUGACACUGACGCUGAGGUGCGAAAGCGUGGGUAGCAAACAGGAUUAGAUACCCUAGUAGUC
rnacentral:rRNA from 1 species